UACGUAGGGGGCAAGCGUUGUCCGGAAUCAUUGGGCGUAAAGAGCGCGUAGGCGGCCCUGUAAGUCCGCUGUGAAAGUCAAGGGCUCAACCCUUGAAUGCCGGUGGAUACUGCAGGGCUAGAGUCCGGAAGAGGCGAGUGGAAUUCCUGGUGUAGCGGUGAAAUGCGCAGAUAUCAGGAAGAACACCUAUGGCGAAGGCAGCUCUCUGGGACGGUACUGACGCUGAGACGCGAAAGCGUGGGGAGCGAACAGG
rnacentral:rRNA from 1 species